CACACCGACAUACGCGACGGUUCUCCCGCGAGGGAGCGAAGAGGGAACACCGGUGCGACGCGCGAGCGUCUGGUCCGGGGCUGUACCCGCAACUGUGAGCGGCGAGCGAGGCGUCAACAGCCACUGGAUCGUCAGAUCUGGGAAGGCGGCGCAUCGCAUUGACCCGCAAGCCAGGAGACCUGCCGACGCGGUCGCUCGUUCA
rnacentral:ncRNA from 18 species